UGGCUACUUGAGAGUUGGAGCAGGAGUCAAAGUCUCACGCUGAGCAAAAUAAGGAUAACUUUUCCUAAUAGACUUGUCUAGAAGGUUUAGGAACUUUGUUUUGUUUCAUCAUGAGUUCUUAUAGUUAGAGGGUUCUAAGCGUCCCGUCUUGAAACACGGACCAAGGAGUCUAACAUAUAUGCAAGUAUAAGGGCUUCAAACCCCAAAUGCGCAAUGAAAGUAAUUUCAGGUAGGAUCCUGCAAGGGUGCACUAUCAGCCGAACCUUAUGGACUCGUUCAUAGGAUUUGAGUAAGAGCAUAUAUGUUGGUACCCGAAAGAUGGUGAACUAUGCCUGAAUAGGGUGAAGCCAGAGGAAACUCUGGUGGAAGCUCGUAGCGAUUCUGACGUGCAAAUCGAUCGUCAAAUUUGGGUAUAGGGGCGAAAGACUAAUCGA
rnacentral:rRNA from 1 species